AUGGAUGACCCGCGUCGUCGGGUGCGAGGCGAUCCAGCGCCGCCGUAUGGAGAUUUUGAUGGUCUGUUCAGUGUUGAGAUGCACCAUAGUGGUUUCUUUUGUGGCAGUGACAUAAACAGAACAUGCAUGGACUAUGAGGUUGAUUGGUUUGACAAUUGUCAGACUGACACUUGGUCCUUACUCUGGAUUGAUGACUUUCUUCUGCAGCUGGGCUAUGAUAGACAAGCUUCAAAGAUUGAUGUUUACUGGUGUGAACCAAGAAAGACAGUUAGUGAUGGCCUGAAACUCUUGACCUGUGAUGCUGACAUUGUUCUUAUGAUUUGUGCAACAUUAGAGCACAAGAACCUGCUGCUGAUAGUAGACCAUGGUGAUACCCUGCAGUCACUAAACAAAGAUAAUGUUCUGACAAAUGGAGUGAAGGAUCCACCUAAGGUUAUUACUCCAAAGAGGCAUGGAAAAGAAAAUGUCAGUUAUCCAGAGAAAGAGCAGAGUCCUAGAGAGAAAAUGUCAAGGACAACAAGGAGAUCUAUGUCAUUUGGAGAAGGAUGUAGCUCAAGGAAUGCUAUGGAGGAGGAGAAUAUUGAGGAUGUUAACAAUAGUGAAGAAGAGGGAAAUGAUGAGGAUGCAGGGUCAGAAACAGAUGAGGAGUUCUAUGAGAGUGACUAUGAAGUUGCAGAAGGUGAUGAUGAUUUGUUUGACGCAAAUGUAGACAAAGAUGUUGAUGAUCACAGAGAGAAGAAAAUACUGCCAGACUUUGAAGAAGAACUUCCAGAAGAUGCUUUGGAGGACAGCCACUUAAAUAUGUCGAAAGAAGAGAAAGAGAAGCUGAAGCACAAAUUCAGUACUUUCAACCCAACAACUGAUCUGAAUGCACAUGUGUUUAAGAUUGGGUUGGUGUUUGCAGAUAUGAAGGAAUUGAGGCAUGCUCUCACUGCAUACAGUGUAAGGAAUAGGGUGAAAGUGAACAAGCUCCGAAAUACUUCGGUAUCACUAGAGGCUGUAUGCAAGCCUGGUUGCACUUGGUACUUGAAGGCAGGUAAAGAUAACAGGUCAAGUAGCAUACAGAUCAAGAAGUAUGUUGACAAUCACACUUGCACAAAAGCAUGGGACCUGAGAGUUCUGACUGCUCCUUUUCUUACUAACAAGUUCAGAGAAGAAUUCAGAGACAAUGAAAAAAUGCCUCUGAAGAAAUUUUCAGAUAAGGUGGAGACAGAAUAUAAUUUGGUUCCACACAGGAGUAAGUUGGGAAGAGCUAGGAGAGCAGCAGUGAAUCAAAUAAGGGGAGUAGAUGAUGACCAAUAUAAUACUUUGUGGGACUAUGGUCAGGAGCUUAGAAGGAGCAAUCCAGGAAGCCAGUUCUUCUUGUGCACUAAGGAAGUAUUUGAUGAGAAGACAAAGAAGGUACAAGACCACUUUUCCACAUUGUACUGGUCAUAUGAUGCAUGCAAGAGGGGAUUCCUUAAGGGAUGUAGACCAAUCACUUUCCUGGAUGGUUGUCACAUUAAAACGAGAUACAAGGGAAGAUUACUAACAGCCGUUGGAAUCGAUCCCAAUGAUUGUAUCUUUCCAGUAGCAUUUGGGUUAUGUGAAGUGGAGUCAACCCAUAGCUGGGAGUGGUUCUUAGCAUCCUUAAAGGAUGACCUGAACAUAAUGAACACCUCACCAUACACCAUUAUGAGUGACAAGCAGAAGGGAUUAAUAAAUGCAGUGAAAAAGGUUUUCCCUCAUUCAGAACAUAGAAACUGUGUUAGGCACAUUUAUCAAAAUUUCCAUAAAGUACACAAGGGAGAGCAGCUCAAGAAUGAUCUAUGGUCUAUAGCAAGGUCCACUAAUGAAGCUGCAUACACCAGGAACAUGGAUCUAAUGAAAGAACACAGCUUGGGUGCCUACACCUGGGUUGAGAAAUUGGAGCCAAGAACAUGGAUCAAAGCAUUCUUUGACCCGUUUUGCAAGUAUGACAUAUUACUAAACAAUAUGUCAGAAGUGUUCAAUAGUUACAUUUUGGAUGCGAGGGAAAUGCCAAUUAAGUCAAUGUUGGACCAGAUAAUGUGGAAGCUAACAAACAGGAUUGUUGGUAAGCAGAGAGAGGCAGAGAAAUGGACAGGCAGAUUAUGUCCCAAGAUACAGAAGAAAUUGGACAAGUAUGUGGAGUGGGCAAAGAACUGCAGGGUGCAAGAGUAUGGGCAAGGUGUUUUCAAGGUUUUCUCUUUGAACAACACAUACAUUGUUGACCUGAACAUGCUUUCUUGUGAAUGCAAAAGGUGGGUACUAUCUGGCAUACCUUGCCAUCAUGCAAUUGCAUGUUUUAGGCAUGAGAGAAUUGAGCCAGAGAGCAUGGUCCAUUCAUGCUACACUAUUGAGGAAUAUAAGAAGUGUUAUGGAUUUAAUAUGAUGCCAAUGAGGGACCCACAGCAAUGGGAAAAAAUGCAUGGCAUUGCUGUUCACCCACCCCUGUACACAAAAGUAAUGGGCAGGCCUAAGAAGAACAGGAAAAAAGAUCCAGAAGAGAAGAAAGACAAGACUGGGGUGAAAAAAUUGAGCAAACAUGGUGUGACCAUGCAUUGUUCUAUUUGUGGAGCUGCUGACCAUAAUAAGAAGGGCCACCACAAUCAUGUUAAUCAAACAACAACUGAGGAAACAACAAUUGAAGAAGAAUAUGACGACCCAAGCAUAAUUGCUAACAUCAUGCCACACAGAGUCUACCCUCAGCUCGAUCCAACACAAACCCCUGACUCAAUGGUUUACAAGAUGCAAGAAAUGGAGAAGUUUACAUAUCCAGCACCUAGGGAAUUUGCCCCCCUACCCGAGUCUAGCUUCAUUGCCAAUGCCAGAGACUCAAUUCCUAUGGUUAGAGUUACAACAGCCAUGUCAAGAGGCAGGGUGAGAAAGACUGCUAAUGAGAAAGUUGCAAGGCCAAGAAAAAAGCAGGCAAGGGAAGGCAAGGGAAGGCCAAGAAAAUAG
rnacentral:rRNA from 1 species